UUAGAUGAUCACACUUGAAUCUUAAGGCUUCAAUAUGGCUUCUUGUUCCCUAACUUCUAUCCUGUUUUGGCAGGUCUGUCUUGCUUUCUGCCACUUAUAACCCAAUUAUUUGUUCCCUUUGAGGCCAAAACAGAGAAGGAGAAACAGAAUCCCUGUUAGCUAACAUGAUGUGAAGGGUCAACAAAGCCUCUCUGAGGAAGUGACAUUUGUUUUGAGCCUGAUGAUGUAUAGGAAUGAGUCAAGGGAAGUUCAGGUAAAAAGUGGACCUAUUAGAGGGACAGCAAAGAGAAGCCUGAUUUCUUUAAGGUACAAAGAAAGGAUUGGUGUGGUUUGAAUGCAGGGAGGGGUUGUAUCAGUAAUAUACCUAAUCAUGUAGGGCUUGUGGUUAUGAUUAAAGACUUUGAGCUUGAUUAUUAAAACCAGUGGAAAUCUGCUGAGGGUCAGGAGCAUGAUCACAUUUGAUGAUUUACAAGAUACUUUAGGCUGCUGCAGGAAAGUUUUGGAGUAGGCAAAGCUUAGACGCAGAGGGGCUAGUUGAGGUGGUAUUAUGGUAGUCUAGCAAGAGACAUUGGGGGCUUUCCAAAAUACUGACAAGUCGUGGGGAGCAGAGGAGGAAACACUAGAUUUGGGAUACAUUCGGGGACAGAAUUGUCUUGGCUAGACGAUUGAAAGGGAGCUCGAGAGAGUGGCAGGGAUGAGUCAAGUUUCAUAACUGAGCCCCUGAAGGAAGGGAGGAGUUCUGUUUGGUAAAGGAACAGACUAAGAGAAGGGAGUGCAAGGAGGUGAGUUUCCUUGUGGACAUCAUCUUCCUUUCCAAGUAAUAGGGAGAAUGUCCUAGCAUUUACAUGUCUGGUGACAGCAGCGCUAUUGUGUCACGUAAUUUUCUGACUACACAAAACUGUUUAAAUCCAGUUCAGUUCUAUUUUAAAUCCUUCUCAUCUUACUGAGGACAAAAAGAUACUAUGUUGACAUUCUGGAUUUUGCUAUCUUUUCAAGAUAGUAAAGACGUAUUGUAAUGAGGUUUAAUAAGCAUCUUCACUCUGUGUGAACUCUGACAGGGAGAAGUUUGACACGUUUCAUUUGUCUGGGCUCCAGCGGUGCCAUCGCUGAGUGCAGUGAGGGAAUCUGCAACACUACAGCUGUGCUAGCGUCUGUACCAUUGUGUCGGAGUCCUUAGGAGGCCUUCCUCUUCUGUUGGAGCUUUUUAGCUUCAGGUAACUUUGGACUGACUUUCCCCAAGAGCAAAUUAUUAGAAAUUGAAUAAAAACGUUUCCACUGGGUUUUGCCUGCAAGAAAAAAAUGUACCCGAGCCCAUAGAGCUUUUUAAUAAUAGCACUAAACAAUGCCUUUUUAGAUGUAUUUUUGAUGUAUAUAUCUAUUAUUAAAAAAUGAUGUUUAUUUUGAGUCCUAGGACCUAAAAUUAGUGUUUUGUAAUAUCAAGAAGGACCUUUAAAAUGAAGCUGAGCUUUUCAUGCAGGGUGCAAUCUACUGGAAAUGUAGCACUUAUGUGAAAUAUUUGUUUCCCCCACAGUUUUAAUAUAAACAAAAUGAAUACCAAAUAAAUUUCCCACUGAAAGAUUAUUGUGACUUCACUGUAUAUAAACAGAUUUUUAUACUUUAUUGAAAGGGGACACCUGUACAUUCUUCCAUCAUCACUGUAAAGAAAAAUAAAUGAUUAUAUUCACAGACUGAUUGGAACUUUUUCUGUUAAAGAGCACACACAAUAAGUAAGGACGAAAGUAGCCCCUUCUUAAUAUUCCUGAUACACAUUUCACUUUGAUCCUUGGGCCUUAGCUUUGAAACAGAGGUGGUGGAAAGUAAUUCAUGCACUUGCUGUGUGCCUCCAGACAUGUUGAGAAUUGUGCUUUCACCGGAAGUUUACAUUGUCAUCUAGCAUGUGACUAAUACUUUUGACAGUUCUGUUUUUAAAAAAGACUUUUUCUUUCUUUCCACAUGAGUUAGGUACACAGGUACACUUUAGGUAUUACUUGAAGUUCAUGUUGUUUUUGCUAAAACGGUUUUCACUUUAACUAACAUCCAGCAGUUUACUAAGUUCACAGGUGCAGGUCAGACUCUUACCACAGUGAGAGGCAGCUCCUAGGCAGAGUUGCUUAAAGAGCCAGACUGUGGUACUUUACUAAUCAGUAUCCAGCCUCUAAAGUAUUAACAUUUUUCUUUCUUUCUUUCUUUUUUUUUUUUUUUUUUUUGUACCGGGGAUCGAACUAGGGACCUUGCACUUGUGAGGCGGGCACUGGAACCACUGAGCUAAAUCCCCGGCCCUAACAUUUUUAUUUCUGUUGAAACUCAUAUGCCUAACUUCUAUUACCACUUAAAUUUCUUUUUUCUUGGUUAAAUUUCAUGAUGUCUAAUUACAUAAGCUGGCAUUGCUUUAUUCAUUAAUUUUAAAAUCUAAACAUAAUUCAAGGAAGGAGGAGUGGCUAUAAUUAAAGCAAAAUUUGAGAAAUGCAGCAAAAACUGAUGUCGUUCUACAGGAAUAGUUUAUGUACUUCUUUCUUAUUUCAUUUUAAAUUAGACCUGAUAGAGCACUUAUUAGCAUGGCCCCAGGUUCAAUCCUCAACAUGACAAUAAACAAGUAAAUAAAUAAAAAUAAAAUUAGACCACAUCUGAUGUGGUCAACGAUGUGACCAAUUCUGUAUCACUGUCACUGUACAUUUUAUUAUCAGUACCUCUAGCUUCCUUUAAUUCUCAAAGGGAAAGAGGAAGAGGAGGUUAGUUAAAGCAAUAUGACUGGCUAAAUUUGGGGCAUUGUGUUUCUGGACCUUUAUUGUCAAACUAUGUAAAUACUUCUUGUAAUUCCUGGUUUAUAUUCCAGUUUGAUCCCCAGACCAUAGGAUACAAAUUUCCUUGGAACAGCUGUGCUGGUGGAUGAGUCUCUGGGAGGACAGUUGGUAGAUGGUCCUUGGUUUGGGUCCAUCAGUGUCCUAAGUGGGGUGGGUGGAGAGUUAAUAUCAAUUUCUUUUUAAGAGCUAGUAUGACUAAUUAGAAGGAUAGCCAAAGGUUUUUCUCCUCCUCCCCCUUGAAGUCCAUGAGUCUCUAUUUGCAAUCAAGCUGGGGUAGUUUCACCUUGAUGAUCAUAUAUUCUUUUUACAAUGCAAGCCAACCAAGAUACCUGUGUUUUUUCUGAACAGAUUUGUAAAAGUAAAAACACAGUGUACAUACUAUAAAACUUUUUCUUAUAUACUUUGCUCAGGUAGAGAACAAGAUCUGAAAACUUAAAUGAUAUCCUACUGGGGACCAUUCUAUAAUAAGUCCAGGAGGUUCCCAAUAUGUGGACAGGACUUGUCCAAAAUCAAGUUCAUCAUCUCAUCCCCACAAACUUACCACCAUCGUGCAUUUCCCAAUUUGAGUAAAAGCAAAGCAGAAGUAGCUCAGGAGUGAUCCUGCAUGUCCUCCCUUUUUUUUCCUUGUGACAUUUGUCAAUCCUUUUAGAACUACUGUAUUAACUCCACUUUUUACAUGCACGCCACAUCCCUUGUCCGUCCCAUUGUUAUGGAAACCUUCCCUCUCCUCUAGACUUCCAGUGGCUUCCUUUAUUUCGCCUGUUCACUGUCUCUUUCUUUUAUCUCCUCCAUGUAGUCAUCAGAGUGAUUCUCAAAAUAGGGCAAAGUGGUUGAAUACUUUUCCUGCUCAAAAUUCCUCAGUAGUAGGAAUGGAGUAGUUUAGAGUUAUUUUUAAGAGCAAGCACUUUGAGAUUAGGAGAACCUGUGUCUGAAUCCUAGUUUUGCCAUUUGUGUGACUUAUCUGGUUACUUAAUCUUUGAUCCUGUUCCUCCUCAGUGAAAUAAGAAUAAUACCUACCUCAUAAGAGUUGUUGUGGGGAUUCAGUGAGAUACUGUCUAUAACGUGUUUAGCACAGUGCCUGGUGUGUAGUGUGUGUACACAGAACAUUAUUGUUAUCCCCAGGUGUCAGUUUUAUGUCACUUCCAAGAGACACUUUUUGAUAACCCUGACUAUCCCUACCCUAACACUAUAUUUUCAGUA
rnacentral:lncRNA from 1 species